rnacentral:rRNA from 1 species
CGCUGGCGGCAUGCCUAACACAUGCAAGUCGAACGGGGGUAGCAAUACCCUAGUGGCGAACGGGUGAGUAACACAUAAGCAAUCUGCCCUUCACAGGGGGAUAACGGCGGGAAACUGCUGCUAAUACCGCAUAAGACCACAGUACCGCAUGGUACAGGGGUAAAAACGAAUCAGUGGUGAAGGAUGAGCUUAUGUCCCAUUAGCUAGUUGGUGAGAUAACAGCCCACCAAGGCGACGAUGGGUAGCCGACCUGAGAGGGUGAUCGGCCACACUGGAACUGAGACACGGUCCAGACUCCUACGGGAGGCAGCAGUGGGGAAUAUUGGGCAAUGGAGGAAAAACCUCUUACCCAGCAAUGCCGCGUGAGUGAAGAAGGUCUUCGGAUUGUAAAGCUCUUUGAUUGGGGACGAAGAAAGUGACGGUACCCAAAGAACAAGCCCCGGCUAACUACGUGCCAGCCGCAGC